AUGUUUUUCAAUACAUUUACUUUUGAACCUUCUAGGUUCUGCACAACAAAACUGCCCAGUUAUGUUACUGUGGAGAUUGGGGACAUGACUUUCCACCUUCAUAAGGUAAUAUGCAUUUCCAAAAGUGUUGUUCUUGAACCGUUGAUCGAGGAGAGUUCAGACCAAGAAGAGUGCAUCAUCAAACCAAAUGAUCCCGGGGGUGCAAAAUCAUUUGAGAUGGUGGCAAGAUUCUGCUAUGAAGUGAAAAUAGACUUUUUUGCAAAUGUUGCCCACCUAGGUUGUGCCUCUGAGCAUCUCCAGAUGACUGAAACGACAUCUGAUAACAACUUGAUUGCAUACACAAAAAUGUUUUUCUAA
rnacentral:rRNA from 1 species